rnacentral:rRNA from 1 species
AACGAACGCUGGCGGCAUGCCUAACACAUGCAAGUCGAACGAGACCUUCGGGUCUAGUGGCGCACGGGUGCGUAACGCGUGGGAACCUGCCCUUAGGUUCGGAAUAACUCCCCGAAAGGGGUGCUAAUACCGGAUAAUGUCUUCGGACCAAAGAUUUAUCGCCUUUGGAUGGGCCCGCGUUGGAUUAGCUAGUUGGUAGGGUAAAAGCCUACCAAGGCGACGAUCCAUAGCUGGUCUGAGAGGAUGAUCAGCCACACUGGGACUGAGACACGGCCCAGACCCCUAGGGGGGGAAGCAGGGGGGAAUAUUGGAAAAGGGGGGAAAGCCUGAUCCAGCAAUGCCGGGGGAGUGAUGAAGGCCUUAGGUUUGAAAAGCUCUUUUACCCGGGAUGAAAAUGACAGGACCGGGAAAAAAAGCCGCGGCUAACCCCGU